GCGUCUGGCGACGCGGAGGGAUCAUUACCGAGUUUACAACUCCCAAACCCCAAUGUGAACGUUACCAAUCUGUUGCCUCGGCGGGAUUCUCUUGCCCCGGGCGCGUCGCAGCCCCGGAUCCCAUGGCGCCCGCCGGAGGACCAACUCCAAACUCUUUUUUUCUCUCCGUCGCGGCUCCCGUCGCGGCUCUGUUUUAUUUUUGCUCUGAGCCUUUCUCGGCGACCCUAGCGGGCGUCUCGAAAAUGAAUCAAAACUUUCAACAACGGAUCUCUUGGUUCUGGCAUCGAUGAAGAACGCAGCGAAAUGCGAUAAGUAAUGUGAAUUGCAGAAUUCAGUGAAUCAUCGAAUCUUUGAACGCACAUUGCGCCCGCCAGUAUUCUGGCGGGCAUGCCUGUCCGAGCGUCAUUUCAACCCUCGAACCCCUCCGGGGGGUCGGCGUUGGGGAUCGGCCCCUCACCGGGCCGCCCCCGAAAUACAGUGGCGGUCUCGCCGCAGCCUCUCCUGCGCAGUAGUUUGCACACUCGCACCGGGAGCGCGGCGCGGCCACAGCCGUAAAACACCCCAAACUUCUGAAAUGUUGACCUCGGAUCAGGUAGGAAUACCCGCUGAACUUAAGCAUAUCAAUAAGCCGGAGGAA
rnacentral:rRNA from 1 species